UUGAAAGGGAAACGAUUGAAGCCAGUCGUACCUUCGGGUAAUCAGCCUUUCGGGUGCGAUUCUGUGAGGUGUGAGGAGUUAAACGCCUUCAUGUUUUGCAUAAUUCGUGCUCUUGGGUGUACUUGCCCGUGUGGUUGGUUAACAUCAAUUUUGGACGCCAUAAAAUGACUGGAGGAGUGUAGCUUCGAUCUCGUAUUGAAGUGUUAUAGCCUUCGGUAGAUGUGGUUUUCGAGAUUGAGGAUUGCAACGGAUACCCUUCGGGGCUACCUAUCUGAUCUCUUGUUGACGUUCAGAUGGCGACAGCUUGCUGACGUUGUUUGAAUAGUUGGCGAAUAGAUUGGAAUGUGAAUUAAUUCGUUAAGGAUGUUGACGUA
rnacentral:rRNA from 1 species